rnacentral:rRNA from 1 species
ACGCCGCGUGAGUGAUGAAGGUUUUCGGAUCGUAAAGCUCUGUUGUUAGGGAAGAACAAGUGCAAGAGUAACUGCUUGCACCUUGACGGUACCUAACCAGAAAGCCACGGCUAACUACGUGCCAGCAGCCGCGGUAAUACGUAGGUGGCAAGCGUUGUCCGGAAUUAUUGGGCGUAAAGGGCUCGCAGGCGGUUUCUUAAGUCUGAUGKGAAAGCCCCCGGCUCAACCGGGGAGGGUCAUUGKAAACUGGGAAACUUGAGUGCAGAAGAGGAGAGUGGAAUUCCACG